rnacentral:lncRNA from 1 species
CCAGCAUGUUCUCAGGUGUGCGGCCAGGAGGCCCAUCCGUCUCAGCCCGCCGCCUCGGAGACACUUGAUCCCACAGGGCCUACCAAGAGGGCGGAGACAGUGGCCGGGGGCCUGGGCAUCGCCUGGUGGAAGAGAAGGGAGCAGAAACAACUGUUCAUAGGUCUCCCAUGACCCACCCAGGCAGGGAACAGCGGGAACGAC